AUAAAAGCAGCCCUGCACCAAUGGAAAAUGAUAUCAACACGGCAGAAUCAGGUGUCCCUCAACUUGAUGGGAAUAAAGAAUGAUGAUGAUGAUUUUGAUAUAUUAUGUUGGUGGAAAUCAAA